UUAAGAUCAUGCUUGAUUGGGAUCCUAAAGGAAAACAGGGUCCUAAAACUCCCCUCCCAGAUAUCGUCACAAUUCACACUCCAAAGGAGGAGGAAGAGUAUGCCCGGCCUGCUUCUGUUUUGGCAACAGCUGAUAUUGAGGUCCCCGUUGCUUGAAAAUGUUUUAAUUGCUUGACUAGAUUUAUAUUCUGAAAUAGCACCUUGAGUAUUUGAUGCCGAAUUCCCAAACCGAUUUUUGUAGUUUCGUUUCUUUUCAACAAACCUUAUCCUUGAGUGCAAGUAUUCAAGCAUAAAUUAUUUUAUAUUCCCCCUCUUCUGAUUGAAUCGUCUUUUUGGGUUU
rnacentral:lncRNA from 1 species